GUAGUCCACGCCGUAAACGAUGAGCACUAGUUAUUGGGGGUAUUGACUCCCUCAGUGACGCAGCUAACGCAUUAAGUGCUCCGCCUGGGGAGUACGGUCGCAAGACUAAAACUCAAACAAAUUGACGGGGGCCCGCACAAGCGGUGGAUUAUGUGGUUUAAUUCGAAGCAACGCGCAGAACCUUACCUAGGCUUGAACUCCUACGAACCCGUUGUAAUGGACGGGGUGUCCGCAAGGAAAUGUAGUGAGAGGUGCUGCAUGGCUGUCGUCAGCUCGUGUUGUGAAAUGUUGGGUUAAGUCUCGCAACGAGCGCAACCCCUAUCGUCUGUUGCCAGCAUUAAGUUGGGCACUCUGACGAGACUGCCUGGGUUAACCAGGA
rnacentral:rRNA from 1 species